rnacentral:lncRNA from 1 species
CCCCUGCUUCUCUUCGGUCUCUCCCCUGUCUCUGCCUCCAUCCCUAUCCCCAACUUAGUUUAAGAACCUAAUAUGUAUUUUUCCAUUCCUCUCUCUCCUUGUCUGUCUUUCUCUCAUAUGUGUGAGUGAAAUCGGAUUGGGGAUCCUUGCUUUCUAGGAAUGAGAUGGCAUCAUGCACGCUUCCCUGCACCUCUGUCCUCACUCAACAUGGAACUGACACACAAACUCGUUUACCUGCACAGGACAUCAGGACGUCGAUGCCCCCCUCCUUACUCACCGUCUCCUUUACUGCCUCUAGGCUUGAGAUGGAGGCUUAGGGAGAAGCAGCAUCUUGGAGGAACAAGCCAAACCUCCUGGAGGGACCAGGUGACGGAAUGUGAAUUCAGGCCUCGGGUUCCUGUGAGUGGGAAUCAGUGCUCUCAGUGGAAUCUGCACUGCUUUCACUCAAGUCUGAAUCUUCAGUAGGAUUUCUUAGCCUCGUGGCAUGUUGUCAGGACAGGAGCAUGAGUAAGGAAUCACGAGAACUAACUAAUGUGGCCUGAGGCAAAAUAUGCACCAAAUAUAGGGUGGCAGGACUAAUCAAUUCCCAGAGUCCCUUCCGGAUAAUUUGGUGGCAUAACUGACACUGAUGGAGGCUGGAAAGUUUGGAGGAUUGCAAUGAUUAAUUUGUGGCCUUCAACAAGUCAUCUAACCUAAGUCACAGUCUGCUGUUCUCUAAAUCACCCUUACUUCAAAGAGUGGCGUGGAGAAUAAAAUUGAAUAUACAGACAAAGGACUUUGUCUGACACACUGUCAGUAGGGCACUAAAUGCAUUUGUGAAGGCUGUGCACUGGACAGCCCCAGGAAGUAUUAUUUGCAUGAACUGUGAUGUAAAUGGCAACCCCUGGAGUUGUGCAACAUGGCGGCCUAUGUCAUGAACACUCAAUCAAUGACAUAGAGAGUAAAAAUGUGUGCCCUCUCUUUAGCUAUUCCAAAUCGGCUAAAUUUUCAAAACACUAAAUCGGCCUCCCAGGCUCUCCUCUUUCCCAAAAUUGGAAGUAAGAAAACAUGGAAAUUAUGCUACUUUCAGAUAUUGUUUACUCACUUAAAAAAUUUCUAAAAGGUAAUGCUUGAACUGGAGCAGGAUUUCUUUUUUGAUUGAAUCACUUUCUGCGUUUCUACACAAAGCCAGACCAAUGGACCCCAGGGCUUUCACACCCUACAAUGUGUGUGCAAGAUGCGAGUGUCUCCCUCCAAAGCAAAGUGACAAGGGAUAUGUUCAAUUGUCGCAGACAGAAAGUCUUAUUUGUUUUUCCUAUCACUUUGUUAUACAAGCUCUCUUCUCAUCUUAUUUAAUCCUGAAUUGGAUGAAUAGUAAUCUCUAUUUUCACUGAUGUAAAUAAAGACGAGCAAGGCAAAGUUAACAAACUCACCAACACUCAUUCAUUCAUUCAACACAUAUUUUCCUGCGUUUCCUACCCAGGUGCCAGGCACUGUCCAGCGCACCAGAGAUACACUGAUAA